rnacentral:rRNA from 1 species
AGCGAACGCUGGCGGCGUGCCUAACACGUGCAAGUCGAACGUGAAAAGGGAAACCUGAGUAAAGUGGCGUACGGGUGAGUAACGCGUAGGUAAUCUACCCCAGAAUCUGGAAUAACCUGCCGAAAGGCGGGCUAAUACUGGAUAGAGCGAGGGAACUCGUAAGAGAGUUUUUCGGGAAAGGGAGCCCGCAAGGGCCUUCGUUCUGGGAUGAGCCUGCGUCUCAUUAGCUAGUUGGUAAGGUAACGGCUUACCAAGGCGAUGAUGAGUAGCUGGUCUGAGAGGAUGAUCAGCCACACUGGAACUGAAACACGGUCCAGACACCUACGGGAGGCAGCAGUGGGGAAUCUUGCGCAAUGGACGAAAGUCUGACGCAGCCACGCCGCGUGAGUGAAGAAGGCCUUCGGGUUGUAAAGCUCUGUCGGAUGGGACGAACAUCUUCAUAGUGAAUAGCUAUGAGGACUGACGGUACCAUCAAAGGAAGCACCGGCUAACUCCGUG